rnacentral:rRNA from 1 species
UAGAGUUUGAUCCUGGCUCAGAGCGAACGCUGGCGGCAGGCUUAACACAUGCGAGUCGAACGGUCCUUCGGGAUAGUGGCGGACGGGUGAGUAACACGUGGGAACGUACCCUUAGGUUCGGAACAACACAGGGAAACUUGUGCUAAUACCGGAUAAGCCCUUCGGGGGAAAGAUUUAUCGCCUUUGGAGCGGCCCGCGUCUGAUUAGCUUGUUGGUGAGGUAAUGGCUCACCAAGGCUACGAUCAGUAGCUGGUCUGAGAGGAUGGCCAGCCACACUGGGACUGAGACACGGCCCAGACUCCUACGGGGGGCAGCA